AGUGAACGCUGGCGGUGGGCCUAACACAUGCAAGUCGAACGGCAGCACAGUAAGAGCUUGCUCUUACGGGUGGCGAGUGGCGGACGGGUGAGGAAUACAUCGGAAUCUACUUUUUCGUGGGGGAUAACGUAGGGAAACUUACGCUAAUACCGCAUACAACCUACGGGUGAAAGCAUGGGAUCUUCGGACCUUGCGCGAUUGAAUGAGCCGAUGUCGGAUUAGCUAGUUGGCGGGGUAAAGGCCCACCAAGGCGACGAUCCGUAGCUGGUCUGAGAGGAUGAUAAGCCACACUGGAACUGAGACACGGUCCAGACUCCUACGGGAGGCAGCAGUGGGGAAUAUUGGACAAUGGGCGCAAGCCUGAUCCAGCCAUACCGCGUGGGUGAAGAAGGCCUUCGGGUUGUAAAGCCCUUUUGUUGGGAAAGAAAAGCAGCAGGUUAAUACCCCGCUGUUCUGACGGUACCCAAAGAAUAAGCACCGGCUAACUUCGUG
rnacentral:rRNA from 1 species